rnacentral:rRNA from 1 species
UACGGAGGGUGCAAGCGUUAUCCGGAUUCACUGGGUUUAAAGGGUGCGUAGGAGGGCAGGUAAGUCAGUGGUGAAAUCCUGGGGCUUAACCCCAGACUGCCGUUGAUACUAUCGGUCUUGAAUGUCGUGGAGGUGAGCGGAAUAUGUCAUGUAGCGGUGAAAUGCUUAGAUAUGAACAUAGAACACCAAUUGCGAAGGCAGCUUGCUAAC